GGGAGGAGCACGGAGUGUGGCACAGCACCCAAGAGAGCAGCAGUGACCAGCACGGAUGUGCCGAAGGACAUCACGGACAUCCAGGGUUUGCUCUCGUGGAUCAAUGAGGUGGCAAGAGCUGUUGAGGUCCCCCGUGAGAACCCCAGCAGCCCUGCCCCAGGAUGCUUCAUUGCUGAGCUCCCUGACAACCCCAGGGACAACAGGGAGCUCAGCACACAGGCUGCCACUGGGACGCCCGCUGACCCCUUCUGGGGGCUUCCACCAUCCCCCGGGUUCCUGCCUGAGC